CUGGCGGCACGCUUAACACAUGCAAGUCGAACGAGAGAAGAGGAGCUUGCUUUUCUGAUCUAGUGGCGGACGGGUGAGUAACACGUGAGCAAUCUGCCUUUCAGAGGGGGAUACCGAUUGGAAACGAUCGUUAAUACCGCAUAACAUAAUUGAACCGCAUGAUUUGAUUAUCAAAGAUCUAUCGCUGAAAGAUGAGCUCGCGUCUGAUUAGCUAGUUGGUAAGGUAACGGCUUACCAAGGCGACGAUCAGUAGCCGGACUGAGAGGUUGAUCGGCCACAUUGGGACUGAGACACGGCCCAGACUCCUACGGGAGGCAGCAGUGGGGAAUAUUGCACAAUGGAGGAAACUCUGAUGCAGCGAUGCCGCGUGAGGGAAGAAGGUUUUAGGAUUGUAAACCUCUGUCUUCAGGGACGAAAAAUGACGGUACCUGAGGAGGAAGCUCCGGCUAACUACGUGCCAGCAGCCGCGGUAAUACGUAGGGAGCGAGCGUUGUCCGGAAUUACUGGGUGUAAAGGGAGCGUAGGCGGGAUCGCAAGUCAGAUGUGAAAACUAUGGGCUUAACCCAUAAACUGCAUUUGAAACUGUGGUUCUUGAGUGAAGUAGAGGUAAGCGGAAUUCCUAGUGUAGCGGUGAAAUGCGUAGAUAUUAGGAGGAACAUCAGUGGCGAAGGCGGCUUACUGGGCUUUAACUGACGCUGAGGCUCGAAGCGUGGGGA
rnacentral:rRNA from 1 species